GGUAGCUCUUUACUCCUUUAGCCACUCAGCCCUGACCUCUAGCUGCCUAGCAGAUUGGAGGGGGAAGCCACAGAUGAAAAAUAUCAUUGUUCAAUCUCAAAAGAGAAUUAUCCAGCACAAAGGAUAAGGACUGCUGUUUCUGACAAGCACAAGAGGAGAUAUGAUGGGACGAGGCUGAAAUCUGAGACGUCAGUAACAAAACCAAAGUCUGAAUUUAUGACACCAGACUGCGUUCCAGGCCUUUCUCUCCUACGACGUUACCCUUGGGACUGUGACUCCAUCUUCCCUACCUUAGCGAAUGUCACCAGCAAAACCUGCCAAGUGUUUGCUCAAACCCUUCUACAGAGCAAAACACUGAAGGUUUGAAAGGAGGGAUUCUAAGCUCUUAAUUUUUAGCUUGGUGAAAAGAAAUCUCUUCUCUGAAGCUAAGCAGAAAAGCAAGGUAAUGCCACACAAAGAGUGGUCAGCAACCUUGAAAGAAACUUGCCGGGGCAAAUCACUGUGGUAGGAAUAUCUCUUCUCCUUGGGAAGUGACAGAAAACCAUACAGUUGUCAGACAGCAAGUCUCUAGCCUACAGCACAG
rnacentral:lncRNA from 1 species